rnacentral:lncRNA from 15 species
CUCCUGAGCUGCCUGAGCUCAGUGUAGAGAGGAUGAGAGGGGUUGUUCAUGAUGGCUUUAUCACCAGCUUGCUAAGCUUGUUUGCACCCCCAGUGCCGAUGCCUCCCCCCCAACAGACCACCGUAAAGAAGAGGACACUGGUACUACUACUACUACUACUACUACUACUACUACUACUACUACUACUACUACUACUACAGACUGGUAGAACAUCUGUAGUAGCCGAGUGCACACAUUGAAUGACCUGAGCCUCCUCAGAAAGAACAGCCUGCUCUGUCCUUUCCUGUAGAGGGCCAAAGUGUGAUCCGUCCAGUCCAGUUUAUUGUUGAGUGUCACCCCCAGGAGGUGUGUAAAUAUUCACAUGACCAAAUAUCUGAAAUGGAGUUUUCAGCCAACAGCAGCACUUCAGAGCCAUGAUACAGCUGAGAAACAGCAAAGCGACUCUGCUCUGACACACACUGACAUUGUGGACACAGUUGUUGGCUGCAGUUUAUUUGUUUACAGUGGUUCAGUCACUUCCAACACUAUGUCAGAAACAGAUUUGAACCAGUGUGACAGGGAACAAAACCAUAUGUUAAAGAGAAAUCCACCAAGACCACAAUAUGUGUGAAAUGGAUCAGGCUUUUUAACAGAUAUCUAGAUUUGUGUUUUCUUACUCUUAGUAGUAGUAUGACAGGACUCUGAUGUUUGAUUAUGUUUAGCUCCAGCAGCACCCUUGCAGCUUCCUGCAGCCACAGGAGAGCCUCCUCCUUCAGCUGCUCCCUCACCUCCUCCACCAGCUGUUCCCUCACCUCCUCCAUCAGCUUCUCCAAGCACGGAGCGCAGCAGCCGGCCACAGGUGGAGAAACCCCGUCGCUCCAGUGUGGACAAGGAGAUGAAGCAGAGUCCAGACAGGUCCGGCAAGUCUCCUCCCCCUCCUCCUCCACGCAGGUUCCAUGCUGUCAGCUCAGGUCUUACCACAGGAAGGUCAGGAGAGGUGAUUUCAACCUCCAGGAAAGAGCCAGUUGGAGCCCAGAAUGAUGAUGAGAAAGAGAAAGUGGUGGUUCCUCAACCCAAACCCCCAAGACAGCCCCCAGAGGUCAAACCCAAACCCCAGAUGUUUCUGGCCAGUUCCAGCCCAACCCCUGCGACAGCCAGAGCACACAGGGACGAGGAGGAGGAAGAGGAGGAGGAAGAGGAGGAGGACAACAAAUUCAUGAAAGAGCUCCAGGUGUUUCAGAAAUGCACAAUGAGGGAUUUAGGGAGCGUGGUUAAACCCUCAGACUCUGAGCUCCAGAGCAGAGAGAGGGAACCUAAGGUAAAAAGAAAAAAAAAAAAACUAACAGCACUAAUAAUUAAUGACUCAGUAUCCAAACAGACAAAGUAACAGGCAAAGUACAACUAUGUACAAGAUGGUUUUAUGACUUACUCUGUCAGAAAAUGAUGAUGAUGUUGUUAUCUACAAUGAGUUAAAAAUCUGUCUUUGUGCUUGUUUUGUGGUUUGCGGUGAAUAGUUUCCUGCUUAUAACUCACAACAGCUAGAAAUUCUGGAUUAACAUCAUUGAGGUCUUUACAAUGACCAAGUUUUCUGCUUUAUUUGGUCAUUACCUGAUCUGAUUCAUAGGUAUAAACAGUUGAUAAAACAGAAACAAUUAUUUAUAUCACACCCAACAAACAUUAACAGUUCAGGUGGAAAAAGUAAAUGAAUCAUUGUAUAAUAUCUGGCUGAACCUCCUUUGGCAGCAGUAAAUGGUAAUGGUAAAUGGACCUGUACUUGUAUAGUGCCUUUUUAGUCCUCCGACCACUCAAAGCGCUUUUACACUACGUGCCACAUUCACCCUUUCAUACACAUUCACACAGUGAUGACAAAGCCCAUCGAACAGAAACUAACUCAUUCAUACACAUUCACAUGCACAGCAUCGGGAACAAUUUGGGGUUCAGUAUCUUGCUCAAGGAUACUUCAACAUGUGACAGGAGGAAAACACCUUAGCAACUUGGAGGGCACAGUGUUCUACAUACAGAAGUUAAUAUAGUCCGUAAUGCAGUGGGUCAUACUGUCAAUGUCAAUGCCGGGGGGGCUGCCCAAUCUGUUGUCUCAAAGCAGUCUCUGAGCCUAGCACUGGUCUCCUCAGACCACUCUUUCACGGGCCUCUUCUCAGGUGGUUGUUUAUUCACCACAGGGGUGUAGUCUGUGAUCAGAUGGACAAGGUUGUGAUCUGAGCGACCAAGCGGGGGGAGGGGGGAUGAGGUGUAUGCAUCCUUGAUGUUUGCAUACAACAAGUCCAAAGUUUUAUUGUCCCUGGUGUGGCAUUUCAAGUACUGGGUGAAGGUGGGGAGAGCAGAGGACAGGGAAGCAUGGUUGAAGUCACCGGAGAUGAGGAGGGAUUGGGGGUUCUGGUUUUGAAGCUGGGAGACGACAGUGUGGAUCUGAUCUGUAGCUGCAGCAGCGACGGCCGAGGGAGGGAUGUACACAGUUACUGCAAUAACAUGUGAAAACUCCCUCGGAAGGUAGUACGGCCACAUGCUAACCGCUAACAGCUCCAAGUCUCUGGUGCAGAGUUGCUCCUUAACACUGAUGUGUGCUGGGUGGCACCAUCAGAGAAAUCCAUUCUGUGCAAGAAGCCCAGGGGACGUGCUACGGUAAGCGCACUGACUCACUUCCGGUUUACUUCCUGCUCUGUGUACACUGUUUGGUGCUGUAGCUCUGUCAGUGAACGCUAAAUAUAAAUUAGUUUUACUCGUUACAGCGGUUAUUUACCCGCUUAACAUUUAAACGUAGACUAGUUCUACUUAAACACUUGGAGUUUCUCCCUCUUUUAGGGACUUUUCACUACUUUCAAAGUUUUUCAUACACUCUAGUUUC